GCUCUUGUUAAAAAUGGUUAUAAGCACCAAGCUUACGGGCCGUGCAUUUAAUUGUACUAAAUAUAAAACUUUAGCAUCAUGGGAGGAGUUGAAGAAAUCAUUGCUUGACGCGUUUGAAACACCUUUUGCAGCGGCUAACUUACAAAUUCAAUUAAAUAUAAUAAGAAUGAACAAAAAUGAAACAGUUAAUAGUUAUAAUGAACGGGUAGAUGAAGUUUAUCAAAAAUUAUGUAACGCUUUAGCCGCAGGGAAAUCAAAGGAAGACGCGAAAAUUAUAAAUGAAAACGUAAAAACACAGGCUCUGGUUAGUUAUAUUAAUGGGUUAAAUGAACAACUUAAAUUUGAAGUUAAAACUAAAAAUCCUCUUACACUUGAUAGUGCUAUGCAAACCGCAGUCCUAGCCGAAAAGGACUUGAUCACUUACAGAGGGGUACAGGAUAUGUUUAAAUCACAAAACGCAGGGAAUAAUUUUAAUACGGGUCCAAAUAACAACGGGAAUAGGGGUUUUCAGUCACCAAGGAAUAAUGGCAAUAAUAAUAAUCGGGGUAACAAUUUUAAUGGUAAUCGUCCUAAUGUAGAUAAUAGACGUUGUAGGAUUUGCAAUCAAAUAGGUCAUAUAUCCUAUAAUUGUAGACUAAACACUAACAAUGGCAAUAAUAAUAAUAGACCUCCACCUCAGCAAAAUAGGCAAAUUAUCAAUCGGGGAAUUUUAAUUCGAAUAAUGCGGGUCCCAUUGUCUGUAAUUAUUGUGGCAAAAUCGGUCACGGGGAGUCUGUUUGGCAUGAAUAGUGCAUUGUGGGCGGACUAGUUGCACAGAUGGUACUAUAAAAACCUGUUUCAUCGUUAAAACGUUUAGUAUAUUAAUUUUACCCAUUGUGGCCUCACGAACUGCAUAUAAAUAAGCUCAAAUAUGGAUCUCGGUAUCAGUCAAUUUCCAAACUUGCAAUUGACACAAUUGUACUCGUCGCGCAACAAAAAUUACAACGAUCAUGGACUUGCAAGAGACCGAAGUGUUCACCCAGGAACAUCCGCCGACUCCACCGACAACGCCGGUGAAACCGAAAAAACAAACAACUCUCAAACGGCGAUCCAAUACAAAAAUGGGGUUUUCUUCAACACUGGAACAACAGAAUAAAAAAAAACAAACCAAUCAAGUAAUAGAACUAGUGGACUCCGAGGACGAAUCGAAUCAGAAAACAUGGAAAGAAAUGCAAUCUACAACUCUGCUGAACUUACCGUUGAAAACCAUCGUAGACCUGGCAGACUUUCAGUAUUUUUCGGGCUUCAUGGAAGUACUAUUGACGGACGACGUACUAAUACAAACGUUAACGCUAAUGCCAACAAUUUCGGUGGUCGUGAUGAUGGCUAUUUUGGUGAACAAGAACCCGAUGCCGAACUUGUCCAGAGCCGAAGUAUUAUCAACACUGCUAAACUUCCAGCUCUGGAAAAGUCCGACAUUAAGAGUCAUGAUAAACUUGAAGAACAAAAUGUAUUCAAUUCCGGUAUCCCUCGAUCCAAAUACCGAAAACGCUCAGCACAACAAGAAUCUGUUCGAUUCGUAUCUAAUACUGCUGGGUCAGAUUUAUUGGAAAACAGAGGAUUGCUUAGAGAAUACGCCGUUAAGUUGUAUAACGAAUAUAUGGGAAGAAAUUCCGCUUACCUCUCGGACAUAUGUGUCCCUGAGGGACGCGAAGAAUUUAUUAAAUUAUAUGAUGAACUUAACAUGGGACUCCAACAAUGCGAUCAAUCAACGCGUGAACAAUUCCGACUCGCCUCAGAACACGGCGACCACGUCCACAUCGUCCACGCGUGUACUUACUCAAACGCAGCUUGUCGCUGUUCCUGGCUCCGUCGCAGCAGCAUCUGGAGAACACGUAGAAGAGUUCGAUAUCGACGACGAAUUUUCGUCGCUGAAUUCGAAAUUGACGACUGGGAAAAUAUCCUUAGAUAUUUCUCUACAAAAGGACACGCAAUCCAAGACUGCAAAGGCUCAUGUCCUUAUGGAGGACUAUGUUUACGAACUCAAGAUGUACAAGAAGGAGGAUAUACGCAAUCUAGACAAGUCUCAAUGGUACACCCGUGUCCACGUCAAAGCGGUGGGGACAGUGAAACGAGAUCAUCCGACCAAGAAGAAACUGGACGGACUGGUUGGCGAUCUCAUGGCCGAUUUAAAAACCAAAUCAAAUCUGCGAAUGGAGAAGACGUUCACUUAUGGCCAAAAACAUUAGACGAUUUAUUACUAACAUAUCCGUGCUGCCCGCCAGACGCCUUUUUUAACAUUAAAGAAUUUUACGAUAAUCCCAAAUUAAAUUACUUAGACGAAUCGUCUAAAAAAGUUCGAGUCGCCUUGCGCAAUUGGUGUGCCCGUAUUGCCGAAUGGUCCAUAUCUGAUUUCGAUAAAUUUUAUAACGCACCAGGUGUAUUUCCUUAUUUUAAUGCUUAUGCUCGUCAACACGAUCAAGUGUAUUACGACGUUAAUUUUUCAGUGAAAAUAGCCAAUGAUUUAUUAGAAUUACAAUGAGUACGAGCAAUCCCCGUGUAGUCUUUAUGAAAAGAGUCGUAAAUCUUGCUUUAAAUAAUUGCACCAACCAUCUUGCACCCAGACACACAUUAAAUACCAUAAUAACUGAAGUAAAUUCAGAGUUAAUUAUAAAAUUUGAUGACCAUUAUUUGAGAAGCAUUGAAAAAGAUAUUACAAAUUUAAUGAGGGAACUUUAUGGGUCCUUACGACCAUACAACAUCUCAAUGGCACUCGUAAACGCCGCCAUAGAGGGGGAUAGCUUAUUAGAUCCAAUUUUUGAACAUGAAAAUACGACAGAUAAAGCGAAAUAUUUUACUAAAGUACUAAAAAUAGCAUUUGAAAAUUGCACUAUUUAUAGAAGAAGACGAUUCGUAUCUAAUACUGCUGGGUCAGAUUUAUUGGAAAACAGAGGAUUGCUUAGAGAAUACGCCGUUAAGUUGUAUAACGAAUAUAUGGGAAGAAAUUCCGCUUACCUCUCGGACAUAUGUGUCCCUGAGGGACGCGAAGAAUUUAUUAAAUUAUAUGAUGAACUUAACAUGGGACUCCAACAAUGCGAUCAAUCAACGCGUGAACAAUUCCGACUCGUCUCAGAACACGGCGACCACGUCCACAUCGUCCACGCGUGUACUUACUCAAACGCAGCUUGUCGCUGUUCCUGGCUCCGUCGCAGCAGCAUCUGGAGAACACGUAGAAGAGUUCGAUAUCGACGACGAAUUUUCGUCGCUGAAUUCGAAAUUGACGACUGGGAAAAUAUCCUUAGAUAUUUCUCUACAAAAGGACACGCAAUCCAAGACUGCAAAGGCUCAUGUCCUUAUGGAGGACUAUGUUUACGAACUCAAGAUGUACAAGUAAGUUGUGAAUAUCAUUUUACGUAUUAUCGACUAAUGCCUAUGAAUUAUAGGAAGGAGGAUAUACGCAAUCUAGACAAGUCUCAAUGGUACACCCGUGUCCACGUCAAAGCGGUGGGGACAGUGAAACGAGAUCAUCCGACCAAGAAGAAACUGGACGGACUGGUUGGCGAUCUCAUGGCCGAUUUAAAAACCAAAUCAAAUCUGCGAAUGGAGAAGACGUUCACUUAUGGCCAAAAACAUUAGACGAUUUAUUACUAACAUAUCCGUGCUGCCCGCCAGACGCCUUUUUUAACAUUAAAGAAUUUUACGAUAAUCCCAAAUUAAAUUACUUAGACGAAUCGUCUAAAAAAGUUCGAGUCGCCUUGCGCAAUUGGUGUGCCCGUAUUGCCGAAUGGUCCAUAUCUGAUUUCGAUAAAUUUUAUAACGCACCAGGUGUAUUUCCUUAUUUUAAUGCUUAUGCUCGUCAACACGAUCAAGUGUAUUACGACGUUAAUUUUUCAGUGAAAAUAGCCAAUGAUUUAUUAGAAUUACAAUGAGUACGAGCAAUCCCCGUGUAGUCUUUAUGAAAAGAGUCGUAAAUCUUGCUUUAAAUAAUUGCACCAACCAUCUUGCACCCAGACACACAUUAAAUACCAUAAUAACUGAAGUAAAUUCAGAGUUAAUUAUAAAAUUUGAUGACCAUUAUUUGAGAAGCAUUGAAAAAGAUAUUACAAAUUUAAUGAGGGAACUUUAUGGGUCCUUACGACCAUACAACAUCUCAAUGGCACUCGUAAACGCCGCCAUAGAGGGGGAUAGCUUAUUAGAUCCAAUUUUUGAACAUGAAAAUACGACAGAUAAAGCGAAAUAUUUUACUAAAGUACUAAAAAUAGCAUUUGAAAAUUGCACUAUUUAUAGAAGAAGACGAUUCGUAUCUAAUACUGCUGGGUCAGAUUUAUUGGAAAACAGAGGAUUGCUUAGAGAAUACGCCGUUAAGUUGUAUAACGAAUAUAUGGGAAGAAAUUCCGCUUACCUCUCGGACAUAUGUGUCCCUGAGGGACGCGAAGAAUUUAUUAAAUUAUAUGAUGAACUUAACAUGGGACUCCAACAAUGCGAUCAAUCAACGCGUGAACAAUUCCGACUCGUCUCAGAACACGGCGACCACGUCCACAUCGUCCACGCGUGUACUUACUCAAACGCAGCUUGUCGCUGUUCCUGGCUCCGUCGCAGCAGCAUCUGGAGAACACGUAGAAGAGUUCGAUAUCGACGACGAAUUUUCGUCGCUGAAUUCGAAAUUGACGACUGGGAAAAUAUCCUUAGAUAUUUCUCUACAAAAGGACACGCAAUCCAAGACUGCAAAGGCUCAUGUCCUUAUGGAGGACUAUGUUUACGAACUCAAGAUGUACAAGUAAGUUGUGAAUAUCAUUUUACGUAUUAUCGACUAAUGCCUAUGAAUUAUAGGAAGGAGGAUAUACGCAAUCUAGACAAGUCUCAAUGGUACACCCGUGUCCACGUCAAAGCGGUGGGGACAGUGAAACGAGAUCAUCCGACCAAGAAGAAACUGGACGGACUGGUUGGCGAUCUCAUGGCCGAUUUAAAAACCAAAUCAAAUCUGCGAAUGGAGAAGACGUUCACUUAUGGCCAAAAACAUUAGACGAUUUAUUACUAACAUAUCCGUGCUGCCCGCCAGACGCCUUUUUUAACAUUAAAGAAUUUUACGAUAAUCCCAAAUUAAAUUACUUAGACGAAUCGUCUAAAAAAGUUCGAGUCGCCUUGCGCAAUUGGUGUGCCCGUAUUGCCGAAUGGUCCAUAUCUGAUUUCGAUAAAUUUUAUAACGCACCAGGUGUAUUUCCUUAUUUUAAUGCUUAUGCUCGUCAACACGAUCAAGUGUAUUACGACGUUAAUUUUUCAGUGAAAAUAGCCAAUGAUUUAUUAGAAUUACAAUGAGUACGAGCAAUCCCCGUGUAGUCUUUAUGAAAAGAGUCGUAAAUCUUGCUUUAAAUAAUUGCACCAACCAUCUUGCACCCAGACACACAUUAAAUACCAUAAUAACUGAAGUAAAUUCAGAGUUAAUUAUAAAAUUUGAUGACCAUUAUUUGAGAAGCAUUGAAAAAGAUAUUACAAAUUUAAUGAGGGAACUUUAUGGGUCCUUACGACCAUACAACAUCUCAAUGGCACUCGUAAACGCCGCCAUAGAGGGGGAUAGCUUAUUAGAUCCAAUUUUUGAACAUGAAAAUACGACAGAUAAAGCGAAAUAUUUUACUAAAGUACUAAAAAUAGCAUUUGAAAAUUGCACUAUUUAUAGAAGAAGACGAUUCGUAUCUAAUACUGCUGGGUCAGAUUUAUUGGAAAACAGAGGAUUGCUUAGAGAAUACGCCGUUAAGUUGUAUAACGAAUAUAUGGGAAGAAAUUCCGCUUACCUCUCGGACAUAUGUGUCCCUGAGGGACGCGAAGAAUUUAUUAAAUUAUAUGAUGAACUUAACAUGGGACUCCAACAAUGCGAUCAAUCAACGCGUGAACAAUUCCGACUCGUCUCAGAACACGGCGACCACGUCCACAUCGUCCACGCGUGUACUUACUCAAACGCAGCUUGUCGCUGUUCCUGGCUCCGUCGCAGCAGCAUCUGGAGAACACGUAGAAGAGUUCGAUAUCGACGACGAAUUUUCGUCGCUGAAUUCGAAAUUGACGACUGGGAAAAUAUCCUUAGAUAUUUCUCUACAAAAGGACACGCAAUCCAAGACUGCAAAGGCUCAUGUCCUUAUGGAGGACUAUGUUUACGAACUCAAGAUGUACAAGUAAGUUGUGAAUAUCAUUUUACGUAUUAUCGACUAAUGCCUAUGAAUUAUAGGAAGGAGGAUAUACGCAAUCUAGACAAGUCUCAAUGGUACACCCGUGUCCACGUCAAAGCGGUGGGGACAGUGAAACGAGAUCAUCCGACCAAGAAGAAACUGGACGGACUGGUUGGCGAUCUCAUGGCCGAUUUAAAAACCAAAUCAAAUCUGCGAAUGGAGAAGACGUUCACUUAUGGCCAAAAACAUUAGACGAUUUAUUACUAACAUAUCCGUGCUGCCCGCCAGACGCCUUUUUUAACAUUAAAGAAUUUUACGAUAAUCCCAAAUUAAAUUACUUAGACGAAUCGUCUAAAAAAGUUCGAGUCGCCUUGCGCAAUUGGUGUGCCCGUAUUGCCGAAUGGUCCAUAUCUGAUUUCGAUAAAUUUUAUAACGCACCAGGUGUAUUUCCUUAUUUUAAUGCUUAUGCUCGUCAACACGAUCAAGUGUAUUACGACGUUAAUUUUUCAGUGAAAAUAGCCAAUGAUUUAUUAGAAUUACAAUGAGUACGAGCAAUCCCCGUGUAGUCUUUAUGAAAAGAGUCGUAAAUCUUGCUUUAAAUAAUUGCACCAACCAUCUUGCACCCAGACACACAUUAAAUACCAUAAUAACUGAAGUAAAUUCAGAGUUAAUUAUAAAAUUUGAUGACCAUUAUUUGAGAAGCAUUGAAAAAGAUAUUACAAAUUUAAUGAGGGAACUUUAUGGGUCCUUACGACCAUACAACAUCUCAAUGGCACUCGUAAACGCCGCCAUAGAGGGGGAUAGCUUAUUAGAUCCAAUUUUUGAACAUGAAAAUACGACAGAUAAAGCGAAAUAUUUUACUAAAGUACUAAAAAUAGCAUUUGAAAAUUGCACUAUUUAUAGAAGAAGACGAUUCGUAUCUAAUACUGCUGGGUCAGAUUUAUUGGAAAACAGAGGAUUGCUUAGAGAAUACGCCGUUAAGUUGUAUAACGAAUAUAUGGGAAGAAAUUCCGCUUACCUCUCGGACAUAUGUGUCCCUGAGGGACGCGAAGAAUUUAUUAAAUUAUAUGAUGAACUUAACAUGGGACUCCAACAAUGCGAUCAAUCAACGCGUGAACAAUUCCGACUCGUCUCAGAACACGGCGACCACGUCCACAUCGUCCACGCGUGUACUUACUCAAACGCAGCUUGUCGCUGUUCCUGGCUCCGUCGCAGCAGCAUCUGGAGAACACGUAGAAGAGUUCGAUAUCGACGACGAAUUUUCGUCGCUGAAUUCGAAAUUGACGACUGGGAAAAUAUCCUUAGAUAUUUCUCUACAAAAGGACACGCAAUCCAAGACUGCAAAGGCUCAUGUCCUUAUGGAGGACUAUGUUUACGAACUCAAGAUGUACAAGUAAGUUGUGAAUAUCAUUUUACGUAUUAUCGACUAAUGCCUAUGAAUUAUAGGAAGGAGGAUAUACGCAAUCUAGACAAGUCUCAAUGGUACACCCGUGUCCACGUCAAAGCGGUGGGGACAGUGAAACGAGAUCAUCCGACCAAGAAGAAACUGGACGGACUGGUUGGCGAUCUCAUGGCCGAUUUAAAAACCAAAUCAAAUCUGCGAAUGGAGAAGACGUUCACUUAUGGCCAAAAACAUUAGACGAUUUAUUACUAACAUAUCCGUGCUGCCCGCCAGACGCCUUUUUUAACAUUAAAGAAUUUUACGAUAAUCCCAAAUUAAAUUACUUAGACGAAUCGUCUAAAAAAGUUCGAGUCGCCUUGCGCAAUUGGUGUGCCCGUAUUGCCGAAUGGUCCAUAUCUGAUUUCGAUAAAUUUUAUAACGCACCAGGUGUAUUUCCUUAUUUUAAUGCUUAUGCUCGUCAACACGAUCAAGUGUAUUACGACGUUAAUUUUUCAGUGAAAAUAGCCAAUGAUUUAUUAGAAUUACAAUGAGUACGAGCAAUCCCCGUGUAGUCUUUAUGAAAAGAGUCGUAAAUCUUGCUUUAAAUAAUUGCACCAACCAUCUUGCACCCAGACACACAUUAAAUACCAUAAUAACUGAAGUAAAUUCAGAGUUAAUUAUAAAAUUUGAUGACCAUUAUUUGAGAAGCAUUGAAAAAGAUAUUACAAAUUUAAUGAGGGAACUUUAUGGGUCCUUACGACCAUACAACAUCUCAAUGGCACUCGUAAACGCCGCCAUAGAGGGGGAUAGCUUAUUAGAUCCAAUUUUUGAACAUGAAAAUACGACAGAUAAAGCGAAAUAUUUUACUAAAGUACUAAAAAUAGCAUUUGAAAAUUGCACUAUUUAUAGAAGAAGACGAUUCGUAUCUAAUACUGCUGGGUCAGAUUUAUUGGAAAACAGAGGAUUGCUUAGAGAAUACGCCGUUAAGUUGUAUAACGAAUAUAUGGGAAGAAAUUCCGCUUACCUCUCGGACAUAUGUGUCCCUGAGGGACGCGAAGAAUUUAUUAAAUUAUAUGAUGAACUUAACAUGGGACUCCAACAAUGCGAUCAAUCAACGCGUGAACAAUUCCGACUCGUCUCAGAACACGGCGACCACGUCCACAUCGUCCACGCGUGUACUUACUCAAACGCAGCUUGUCGCUGUUCCUGGCUCCGUCGCAGCAGCAUCUGGAGAACACGUAGAAGAGUUCGAUAUCGACGACGAAUUUUCGUCGCUGAAUUCGAAAUUGACGACUGGGAAAAUAUCCUUAGAUAUUUCUCUACAAAAGGACACGCAAUCCAAGACUGCAAAGGCUCAUGUCCUUAUGGAGGACUAUGUUUACGAACUCAAGAUGUACAAGAAGGAGGAUAUACGCAAUCUAGACAAGUCUCAAUGGUACACCCGUGUCCACGUCAAAGCGGUGGGGACAGUGAAACGAGAUCAUCCGACCAAGAAGAAACUGGACGGACUGGUUGGCGAUCUCAUGGCCGAUUUAAAAACCAAAUCAAAUCUGCGAAUGGAGAAGACGUUCACUUAUGGCCAAAAACAUUAGACGAUUUAUUACUAACAUAUCCGUGCUGCCCGCCAGACGCCUUUUUUAACAUUAAAGAAUUUUACGAUAAUCCCAAAUUAAAUUACUUAGACGAAUCGUCUAAAAAAGUUCGAGUCGCCUUGCGCAAUUGGUGUGCCCGUAUUGCCGAAUGGUCCAUAUCUGAUUUCGAUAAAUUUUAUAACGCACCAGGUGUAUUUCCUUAUUUUAAUGCUUAUGCUCGUCAACACGAUCAAGUGUAUUACGACGUUAAUUUUUCAGUGAAAAUAGCCAAUGAUUUAUUAGAAUUACAAUGAGUACGAGCAAUCCCCGUGUAGUCUUUAUGAAAAGAGUCGUAAAUCUUGCUUUAAAUAAUUGCACCAACCAUCUUGCACCCAGACACACAUUAAAUACCAUAAUAACUGAAGUAAAUUCAGAGUUAAUUAUAAAAUUUGAUGACCAUUAUUUGAGAAGCAUUGAAAAAGAUAUUACAAAUUUAAUGAGGGAACUUUAUGGGUCCUUACGACCAUACAACAUCUCAAUGGCACUCGUAAACGCCGCCAUAGAGGGGGAUAGCUUAUUAGAUCCAAUUUUUGAACAUGAAAAUACGACAGAUAAAGCGAAAUAUUUUACUAAAGUACUAAAAAUAGCAUUUGAAAAUUGCACUAUUUAUAGAAGAAGACGAUUCGUAUCUAAUACUGCUGGGUCAGAUUUAUUGGAAAACAGAGGAUUGCUUAGAGAAUACGCCGUUAAGUUGUAUAACGAAUAUAU